rnacentral:misc_RNA from 1 species
GAAAUGCGAUACGUAGUGUGAAUUGCAGAAUUCAGUGAAUCAUCGAGACCUUGAACGCAACUUGCGCCUGCCGGUCCUCCGGCAGGCAUGCCUGUUUGAGUAUCGGUUCAUCAUCUCAAAAAGAGAGGCCACUCCGGUGCGCCUCUCCGCUUGGGGAGCAUGGGGGUUAGGGCCGAGAGGUCCCAUCACCCGAACCGCAGGGCGAAAUCGGGAGGCCGCGGACGACGCAGCAACGUUUUGAAGGGCUCCGGCCCCCCAUCGUUGGUGCGGAAGGUCGGUCAGGCGCCCGAGGAUGCCUACAUGGGAGCGAUCCGCCUCCAACGGGGCGGUCGACACACCACUUCGAUCUCAAAUCAGACAAGACUACCCGCUGAAUUUAA